rnacentral:ncRNA from 2 species
AAGAUAUUUCGGGGGAGCUUAUUUAGCUGAGAUAGAGAAAUCUAGACCCUUAGAACCUGAUUUGGUUAAAACCAACGUAGGGAAGAAAGUCGGUAACAAUA